UACAGAGGACAGGACAGGUUAGUGAUGUGUUGUAGAGGUACAGAGGACAGGACAGGACAGGUUAGUGAUGUGUUGUAGAGGUACAGAGGACAGGACAGGUUGGUGAUGUGUUGUAGAGGUACAGAGGACAGGACAGGACAGGUUGGUGACGUGUUGUAGAGGUACAGAGGACAGGACAGGACAGGUUGGUGACGUGUUGUAGAGGUACAGAGGACAGGACAGGUUAGUGAUGUGUUGUAGAGGUACAGAGGACAGGACAGGUUAGUGACGUGUUGUAGAGGACAGGACAGGUUGGUGACGUGUUGUAGAGGUACAGAGAGGACAGGACAGGUUAGUGACGUGUUGUAGAGGACAGAGGACAGGACAGGUUAGUGAUGUGUUGUAGAGGACAGACAGGGCAGGACAGGACAGGUUAGUGAUGUGUUGUAGAGGUACAGAGGACAGACAGGACAGGUUGGUGACGUGUUGUAGAGGUACAGAGGACAGGACAGGACAGGUUGGUGACGUGUUGUAGAGGUACAGAGGACAGGACAGGUUAGUGAUGUGUUGUAGAGGUACAGACAGCAGGACAGGACAGGUUAGUGAUGUGUUGUAGAGGGACAGAGGACAGGACAGGUUGGUGACGUGUUGUAGAGGUACAGAGGACAGGACAGGACAGGUUGGUGACGUGUUGUAGAGGACAGGACAGGUUAGUGACGUGUUGUAGAGGUACAGAGGACAGGACAGGUUGGUGACGUGUUGUAGAGGUACAGAGGACAGGACAGGUUAGUGAUGUGUUGUAGAGGACAGGACAGGGCAGGACAGGACAGGUUAGUGAUGUGUUGUAGAGGUACAGAGGACAGGACAGGACAGGUUGGUGACGUGUUGUAGAGGUACAGAGGACAGGACAGGACAGGUUAGUGACGUGUUGUAGAGGACAGAACAGGACAGGUUAGUGGCGUGUUGUAGAGGUACAGAGGACAGGACAGGACAGGUUAGUGACGUGUUGUAGAGGUACAGAGGACAGGACAGGUUAGUGACGUGUUGUAGAGGUACAGAGGACAGGACAGGUUAGUGACGUGUUGUAGAGGUACAGAGGACAGGACAGGACAGGUUAGUGACGUGUUGUAGAGGUACAGAGGACAGGACAGGUUAGUGACGUGUUGUAGAGGUACAUAGGACAGGACAGGUUAGUGACGUGUUGUAGAGGUACAUAGGACAGGACAGGUUAGUGACGUGUUGUAGAGGUACAGAGGACAGGACAGGUUAGUGACGUGUUGUAGAGGUACAUAGGACAGGACAGGUUAGUGACGUGUUGUAGAGGUACAUAGGACAGGACAGGUUAGUGACGUGUUGUAGAGGUACAGAGGACAGGACAGGUUAGUGACGUGUUGUAGAGGUACAGAGGACAGGACAGGUUAGUGACGUG